UUUAAUAGCCAUAUCACCCUGCAGCCCAAGACCGGUUACUCACGAAGCUAAGCAGGGCUGAGCCUGGUCAGUACCUGGAUGGGAGACCACUAGGGAACACUAGGUUGCUGUUGGAA
rfam:Danio rerio chromosome 14, GRCz11 reference primary assembly.